rnacentral:misc_RNA from 1 species
UACGUAGGGGGCAAGCGUUGUUCGGAAUUACUGGGCGUAAAGCGCGCGCAGGCGGUUCCUUAAGUCUGAUGUGAAAGCCCACGGCUUAACCGUGGAGGGUCAUUGGAAACUGGGGAACUUGAGUACAGAAGAGGGGGGCGGAAUUCCACGUGUAGCGGUGAAAUGCGUAGAUAUGUGGAGGAACACCAGUGGCGAAGGCGGCUCUCUGGUCUGGAACUGACGCUGAGGCGCGAAAGCGUGGGGAGCGAACAGG